GCCAGGUGUAGUGGUGCACGCCUGUAAUCCCAGUGGCUCAGGAGGUUGAGGCAGGAGGAUCGCGAGUUCAAAGCCAGUUUCAGGAAUUUAGUGAGACGCUAAGCAACUCACUGAGACUCUGUCUCUA
rnacentral:sRNA from 1 species